rnacentral:rRNA from 1 species
CCUACGGGCGGCAGCAGUGAGGAAUAUUGGUCAAUGGACGCAAGUCUGAACCAGCCAUGCCGCGUGCAGGUAGACGGCUCUAUGAGUUGUAAACUGCUUUUGUAUGAGGGUAAAUCCCGAUAUGCAUAUCGGCUUGAAAGUAUCGUACGAAUAAGGAUCGGCUAACCCCGUGCCAGCAGCCGCGGUAAUACGGAGGAUUCAAGCGUUAUCCGGAUUUAUUGGGUUUAAAGGGAGCGUAGGCGGUUCGAUAAGUCAGUUGUGAAAGCCCGGGGCUCAACUCCGACACUGCAUUUGAUACUGGCGGGCUAGAGUUUAGUUGCGGUAGGCGGAAUGUAUGGUGUAGCGGUGAAAUGCAUAGAGAUCAUACAGAACACCGAUUGCGAAGGCAGCUUACCAGACUGCGACUGACGUUGAGGCACGAAAGCGUGGGGAGCAAACAGGAUUAGAUACCCGAGUAGUC